rnacentral:misc_RNA from 1 species
UUGACUUAAUUUUUUUUUACUCAGAGACGCCACUGUAAUACACGAGAGUUUGUGACCUCCGGCGGGCGCCCCUCGCCCCGGAGGGCGUGGGCUGCGGUCCCCCGAGGGGUCCCGCGCCGCCGAAGCAACUUGGAUACGUUCGCGAUGGUUUGAAGUUGCCUUUCGGCUUCCUGUAAUGAUCCCUCCGCUGGUUCACCAACGGAGA